CACCUCAGAUGAAGCAAUUGUGCUAUAACUUAUUCCACCCAAUACCUUUUUCCUGGAGUUAAGUAAACCCAAGGUCAGAUGUGCCGUUGUGCUCGAUAACUGCUGAAAUGAGGUAUCAAUACGUGGACCAAAUGGAAACAGAAGGUGUUGUACAUGCUAGGAAAAGGAGGCCACUUAUUCACUGAGGCGUUCUUCAAGAUGUAAUCGCACAGGUCGAGCAAAAAGGAUGAGCUCAUAUGUGCCAGAGUUUGGGGGCAUGAGACGAAGCAUCAUGCUGUGCCACGUGCUGGUGAGAAAGCCGAUGAAGUUGUUCAGUUGUUGUAGAUCAUUGCCGCUGCACUGGGAAAGCUCAUAGGUGAAAUGGACAAGCAGAGGGAAACUCAUCAAUAUCAUCACCUCGCCGUUCUCUGGGACACACAGAUGGUAAAGGUGUCACAGCAGCACAUCAACUGAUGGAUCAAUGACAUGAAACUCAUCUAGUAGUUCAUUCAAGAAUACAUUAAAGAUUUUAUAAUGAC
ensembl:lncRNA